rnacentral:rRNA from 1 species
GCUCAGAUUGAACGCUGGCGGCAGGCCUAACACAUGCAAGUCGAGCGGCAGCGGGAAAGUAGCUUGCUACUUUUGCCGGCGAGCGGCGGACGGGUGAGUAAUGCCUGGGAAAUUGCCCAGUCGAGGGGGAUAACAGUUGGAAACGACUGCUAAUACCGCAUACGCCCUACGGGGGAAAGCAGGGGACCUUCGGGCCUUGCGCGAUUGGAUAUGCCCAGGUGGGAUUAGCUUGUUGGUGAGGUAAUGGCUCACCAAGGCGACGAUCCCUAGCUGGUCUGAGAGGAUGAUCAGCCACACUGGAACUGAGACACGGUCCAGACUCCUACGGGAGGCAGCAGUGGGGAAUAUUGCACAAUGGGGGAAACCCUGAUGCAGCCAUGCCGCGUGUGUGAAGAAGGCCUUCGGGUUGUAAAGCACUUUCAGCGAGGAGGAAAGGUUGGUAG